AUCUUCAGGGCGGGGUGUAACUCCCCACCGGCGGUAUAGCCCGCGAGCGUUACCUAGUCACUUAGCCAACGCAUGAUUCGGUGAAAUUCCGAGGCCGACGGUAUAGUCCGGAUGAAAGAAGAU
rnacentral:ncRNA from 1 species